rnacentral:rRNA from 1 species
GAUGAACGCUGGCGGCGUGCCUAAUACAUGCAAGUCGAGCGAACAGACGAGGAGCUUGCUCCUCUGACGUUAGCGGCGGACGGGUGAGGAACACGUGGAUAACCUACCUAUAAGACUGGGAUAACUUCGGGAAACCGGAGCUAAUACCGGAUAAUAUAUUGAACCGCAUGGUUCAAUAGUGAAAGACGGUUUUGCUGUCACUUAUAGAUGGAUCCGCGCCGCAUUAGCUAGUUGGUAAGGUAACGGCUUACCAAGGCGACGAUGCGUAGCCGACCUGAGAGGGUGAUCGGCCACACUGGAACUGAGACACGGUCCAGACUCCUACGGGAGGCAGCAGUAGGGAAUCUUCCGCAAUGGGCGAAAGCCUGACGGAGCAACGCCGCGUGAGUGAUGAAGGUCUUCGGAUCGUAAAACUCUGUUAUUAGGGAAGAACAAAUGUGUAAGUAACUAUGCACGUCUUGACGGUACCUAAUCAGAAAGCCACGGCUAACUACGUG